rnacentral:rRNA from 1 species
AUUGAACGCUGGCGGCAGGCCUAACACAUGCAAGUCGAACGAGUGGCGGACGGGUGAGUAAUGUCUGGGAAUCUGCCCGAUGGAGGGGGAUAACUACUGGAAACGGUAGCUAAUACCGCAUACCAUCGGAUGUUCCCAUAUGGGAUUAGCUAGUAGGUGGGGUAACGGCUCACCUAGGCGACGAUCCCUAGCUGGUCUGAGAGGAUGACCAGCCACACUGGAACUGAGACACGGCCCAGACUCCUACGGGAGGCAGCAGUGGGGAUUAUUGCACAAUGGGCGCAAGCCUGAUGCAGCCAUGCCGCGUGUAUGAAGAAGGCCUUCGGGUUGUAAAGUACUUUCAGCGAGGAGGCGUUACUCGCAGAAGAAGCACCGGCUAACUCCGUGCCAGCCGCCGCGGUAAUAC